rnacentral:tRNA from 9 species
GCAUUGAUAGUGUAGGGGUAUCAUGAGUCGUUGCCAUCGACUCGACCGGGGUUCGAGUCCCCGUCAAUGCA